rnacentral:tRNA from 1 species
UUGUGUCCUGUCCGUGCAACCUGAUGGGACCCUGCACGACACCG